GAGUUUGAUCCUGGCUCAGAACGAACGCUGGCGGCAGGCCUAACACAUGCAAGUCGAACGCUGUAGCAAUACGGAGUGGCAGACGGGUGCGUAACGCGUGGGAAACUUCCUUUAGUUCGGAAUAGCCCAGGGAAACUUGGAUUAAUACCGAAUACGCCCUACGGGGAAAGAUUUAUCGCUAAAGAUGUGCCCGCGUUGGAUUAGCUAGUUGGUGGGGUAAAAGCCUACCAAGGCGAUGAUCCAUAGCUGGUCUGAGAGGAUGAUCAGCCACACUGGAACUGAGACACGGUCCAGACUCCUACGGGAGCAGCAGGUGGGAAUAUUGGACAAUGGAGGCAACUCUGAUCCAGCCAUGCCGCGUGAAUGAUGAA
rnacentral:rRNA from 1 species